AUCAACUUUCGAUGGUAGGAUAGAGGCCUACCAUGGUGGUAACGGGUAACGGGGUGUUAGGGCACGACACCGGAGAGGGAGCCUGAGAAACGGCUACCACAUCCAAGGAUGGCAGCAGGCGCGCAAAUUACCCAAUCCCGACACGGGGAGGUAGUGACAAUAAAUAACAAUACGGGGUUCUUUAGGAUUUCGUAAUUGGAAUGAGUACAAUUUAUAUCUCUUAACGAGGAACAAUUGGAGGGCAAGUCUGGUGCCAGCAGCCGCGGUAAUUCCAGCUCCAAUAGCGUAUAUUAAAGUUGUUGCAGUUAAAAAGCUCGUAGUUGAAUUUCGGGGUCAGUAGGUUGGUCAUGCCACUGGUAUGUACUGGCCUCACUGAUUCCUCCUUCCUGAUGAGCCGUAAUGCCAUUAAUUUGGUGUUGCGAGGAAUCUGGACUGUUACUUUGAAAAAAUUAGAGUGUUUAAAGCAGGCUAACGCUUGAAUACAUUAGCAUGGAAUAAUGAAAUAGGACGUGCGAUCUUAUUUUGUUGGUUUCUAAGAUUGACGUAAUGAUUAAUAGGGAUAGUUGGGGGCAUUAGUAUUCAAUUGUCAGAGGUGAAAUUCUUGGAUUUAUUGAAGACUAACUACUGCGAAAGCAUUUGCCAAGGAUGUUUUCAUUAAUCAAGAACGAAAGUUAGGGGAUCGAAGACGAUCAAAUACCGUCGUAGUCUUAACCAUAAACUAUGCCGACUAGGGAUCGGAUGAUGUUAAUUUUUUAAUGACUCAUUCGGCGCCUUACGGGAAACCAAAGUGUUUGGGUUC
rnacentral:rRNA from 1 species